rnacentral:rRNA from 1 species
GGGUUGUGAGGUUAAGCGACUAAGCGUACACGGUGGAUGCCCUGGCAGUCAGAGGCGAUGAAGGACGUGCUAAUCUGCGAAAAGCGCCGGUAAGGUGAUAUGAACCGUUAUAGCCGGCGAUGUCCGAAUGGGGAAACCCAGUGUGACUCGUCACACUAUCAUUAACUGAAUCCAUAGGUUAAUGAGGCGAACCGGGGGAACUGAAACAUCUAAGUACCCCGAGGAAAAGAAAUCAACCGAGAUUCCCCCAGUAGCGGCGAGCGAACGGGGAGCAGCCCAGAGCCUGAAUCAGCUUGUGUGUUAGUGGAAGCGUCUGGAAAGUCGCGCGAUACAGGGUGACAGCCCCGUACACAAAAGCACACAGGCUGUGAGCUCGAUGAGUAGGGCGGGACACGUGGUAUCCUGUCUGAAUAUGGGGGGACCAUCCUCCAAGGCUAAAUACUCCUGACUGACCGAUAGUGAACCAGUACCGUGAGGGAAAGGCGAAAAGAACCCCGGCGAGGGGAGUGAAAAAGAACCUGAAACCGUGUACGUACAAGCAGUGGGAGCAUCCUUCGGGGUGUGACUGCGUACCUUUUGUAUAAUGGGUCAGCGACUUAUAUUCUGUAGCAAGGUUAACCGCAUAGGGGAGCCGAAGGGAAACCGAGUCUUAACUGGGCGUUAAGUUGCAGGGUAUAGACCCGAAACCCGGUGAUCUAGCCAUGGGCAGGUUGAAGGUUGGGUAACACUAACUGGAGGACCGAACCGACUAAUGUUGAAAAAUUAGCGGAUGACUUGUGGCUGGGGGUGAAAGGCCAAUCAAACCGGGAGAUAGCUGGUUCUCCCCGAAAGCUAUUUAGGUAGCGCCUCGUGAAUUCAUCUCCGGGGGUAGAGCACUGUUUCGGCUAGGGGGCCAUCCCGGCUUACCAACCCGAUGCAAACUACGAAUACCGGAGAAUGUUAUCACGGGAGACACACGGCGGGUGCUAACGUCCGUCGUGAAGAGGGAAACAACCCAGACCGCCAGCUAAGGUCCCAAAGUCAUGGUUAAGUGGGAAACGAUGUGGGAAGGCCCAGACAGCCAGGAUGUUGGCUUAGAAGCAGCCAUCAUUUAAAGAAAGCGUAAUAGCUCACUGGUCGAGUCGGCCUGCGCGGAAGAUGUAACGGGGCUAAACCAUGCACCGAAGCUGCGGCAGCGACACUAUGUGUUGUUGGGUAGGGGAGCGUUCUGUAAGCCUGCGAAGGUGGCCUGUGAGGGUUGCUGGAGGUAUCAGAAGUGCGAAUGCUGACAUAAGUAACGAUAAAGCGGGUGAAAAGCCCGCUCGCCGGAAGACCAAGGGUUCCUGUCCAACGUUAAUCGGGGCAGGGUGAGUCGACCCCUAAGGCGAGGCCGAAAGGCGUAGUCGAUGGGAAACAGGUUAAUAUUCCUGUACUUGGUGUUACUGCGAAGGGGGGACGGAGAAGGCUAUGUUAGCCGGGCGACGGUUGUCCCGGUUUAAGCGUGAAGGUGUGUGCUCCAGGCAAAUCCGGAGCACUUUAACACUGAGGCGUGAUGACGAGGUACUACGGUGCUGAAGUAACAAAUGCCCUGCUUCCAGGAAAAGCCUCUAAGCUCCAGGUAACACGAAAUCGUACCCCAAACCGACACAGGUGGUCAGGUAGAGAAUACCAAGGCGCUUGAGAGAACUCGGGUGAAGGAACUAGGCAAAAUGGUGCCGUAACUUCGGGAGAAGGCACGCUGAUACGUAGGUGAAGUCCCUCGCGGAUGGAGCUGAAAUCAGUCGAAGAUACCAGCUGGCUGCAACUGUUUAUUAAAAACACAGCACUGUGCAAACACGAAAGUGGACGUAUACGGUGUGACGCCUGCCCGGUGCCGGAAGGUUAAUUGAUGGGGUCAUCCGUAAGGAGAAGCUCUUGAUCGAAGCCCCGGUAAACGGCGGCCGUAACUAUAACGGUCCUAAGGUAGCGAAAUUCCUUGUCGGGUAAGUUCCGACCUGCACGAAUGGCGUAAUGAUGGCCAGGCUGUCUCCACCCGAGACUCAGUGAAAUUGAACUCGCUGUGAAGAUGCAGUGUACCCGCGGCAAGACGGAAAGACCCCGUGAACCUUUACUAUAGCUUGACACUGAACACUGGUCCUUGAUGUGUAGGAUAGGUGGGAGGCUUUGAAGCGUGGACGCCAGUCUGCGUGGAGCCGCCCUUGAAAUACCACCCUUUAAUGGCUGGUGUUCUAACGUGGACCCGUAAUCCGGGUUGCGGACAGUGUCUGGUGGGUAGUUUGACUGGGGCGGUCUCCUCCUAAAGCGUAACGGAGGAGCACGAAGGUCAGCUAAUCCUGGUCGGACAUCAGGAGGUUAGUGCAAUGGCAUAAGCUGGCUUGACUGCGAGCGUGACGGCGCGAGCAGGUGCGAAAGCAGGUCAUAGUGAUCCGGUGGUUCUGAAUGGAAGGGCCAUCGCUCAACGGAUAAAAGGUACUCCGGGGAUAACAGGCUGAUACCGCCCAAGAGUUCAUAUCGACGGCGGUGUUUGGCACCUCGAUGUCGGCUCAUCACAUCCUGGGGCUGAAGUAGGUCCCAAGGGUAUGGCUGUUCGCCAUUUAAAGUGGUACGCGAGCUGGGUUUAGAACGUCGUGAGACAGUUCGGUCCCUAUCUGCCGUGGGCGCUGGAGAAUUGAGGGGGGCUGCUCCUAGUACGAGAGGACCGGAGUGGACGCAUCACUGGUGUUCGGGUUGUCAUGCCAAUGGCACUGCCCGGUAGCUAAAUGCGGAAGAGAUAAGUGCUGAAAGCAUCUAAGCACGAAACUUGCCCCGAGAUGAGUUCUCCCUGAGACUUUAAGUCUCCUGAAGGAACGUUGAAGACGACGACGUUGAUAGGCCGGGUGUGUAAGCGCAGCGAUGCGUUGAGCUAACCGGUACUAAUGAACCGUGAGGCUUAACCUUACAACGCCGAAG